rnacentral:rRNA from 1 species
GCUCUCUGGUGAAUCAUGAUAACUGGUCGAAUCGACAGGCCUUGUGCCGGCGAUGGCUCAUUCAAAUUUCUUCCCUAUCAACUUUCGAUGUUUGGGUAUUGGCCAAACAUGGUGGCAACGGGUAACGGAGGGUUAGGGCUCGACCCCGGAGAAGGAGCCUGAGAAACGGCUACUACAUCCAAGGAAGGCAGCAGGCGCGCAAAUUACCCAAUCCCGACACGGGGAGGUAGUGACAAUAAAUACUGAUACAGGGCUCUUUUGGGUCUUGUAAUCGGAAUGAGUACAAUUUAAAUCCCUUAACGAGGAACAAUUGGAGGGCAAGUCUGGUGCCAGCAGCCGCGGUAAUUCCAGCUCCAAUAGCGUAUAUUAAAGUUGUUGUGGUUAAAAAGCUCGUAGUUGAACCUUGGGCCUGGCUGGCCGGUCCGCCUCACCGCGUGCACUGGUCCGGCCGGGCCUUUCCCUCUGCGGAACCCCAUGCCCUUCACUGGGUGUGGCGGGGAAACAGGACUUUUACUUUGAAAAAAUUAGAGUGCUCAAGGCAGGCCUAUGCUCGAAUACAUUAGCAUGGAAUAAUAGAAUAGGACGUGUGGUUCUAUUUUGUUGGUUUUUAGGACCGCCGUAAUGAUUAAUAGGGACAGUCGGGGGCAUCAGUAUUCAAUUGUCAGAGGUGAAAUUCUUGGAUUUAUUGAAGACUAACUACUGCGAAAGCAUUUGCCAAGGAUGUUUUCAUUAAUCAGGAACGAAAGUUAGGGGAUCGAAGACGAUCAGAUACCGUCGUAGUCUUAACCAUAAACUAUGCCGACUAGGGAUCGGACGAUGUUAUAUUUUUGACGCGUUCGGCACCUUACGAGAAAUCAAAGUGCUUGGGCUCCAGGGGGAGUAUGGUCGCAAG